rnacentral:rRNA from 1 species
UACGGAGGGUGCAAACGUUGCUCGGAAUCAUUGGGCGUAAAGCGCACGUAGGCGGACCGCUAAGUCGGAUGUGAAAGCCCUCGGCUUAACCGAGGAAGUGCAUUCGAAACUGACGGUCUUGAGUAUGGAAGAGGGUCGCGGAAUUCCCGGUGUAGAGGUGAAAUUCGUAGAUAUUCGCAAGAACACCAGUGGCGAAGGCGGCUCACUGGUCCGGUACUGACGCUGAGGUGCGAAAGCGUGGGGAGCAAACAGG